GAAUAAAAUGGCUUAUUUUAUGCUUUGAGCAAUUUUUAUCCCAGAUUGUGACUAAAGAAUAGGAAGAAAGUGUACAUCUUCUGAAAGAAUCCACUACAAAAGAAUCUGAUGGGCAUAGAAGGGAAGCAUUGCAGCUGUUUCAUUUCUGUGCCUUCCACUGGAGUCUCCUGAGAAGGCACCCUGCAGCCUGCCAAUUGUUCUUUCUCCUUUAAUGGAUUAUCCAAUGGAGAUCCAAAGCCCAUGGCAGAAUGGACAGAUAACCACAGUGUCUGAGCACAUUACUCCUCAAACUGAGAACAGUGAAGUUUGAACGUUCGCUUCUCAAUCCACUGUCAUAUGGCUUCUGCCCUGCGAAUGGCACUGAUUUUUCUACAUCACUAAAUGUUAACAGACAUGUAAAUUUUAACAGAACCUUGAGCAGGAUUUAAUGUAAUCGAGCACAUACAUUCUCAUUGUCUUCUCUUGGCUCUCUGAACAAUAUACUUUCCUAGGUUUUUCCUGUGUUGGUUGUGUCUUAGUUUCUUUUAUUGGGCUUUCUCAAAGUUGAAUCCUGAAUCUUCUUUUCUAUAUCUUUUUUAAAGAAUUCAAUGAUCACCUAUGCCUGCAUUGUCUAAUAUGGUAACCACUAGCCAAAGGUGGCUAGUAAGCACUUGGAAAGUUGGUAUCUAAAUCAUACUGCUACAAGGAUAAAACACUUACUAUAAAGUUUGAAGACUUAUUGGAAACAAAAAUCAAAAGAAUAGUUGAAGCAGGAGAGGGGAGACCUGGUUAAAAAUGGAAUUUACAAAAUGGUCAUAUAAGAGUUUUGAAUUUAGGAAGGGCAAGGCCAUCUUGACCCAGAAAAGCCCUUUAUGCAUUUACCUGAAAGAGGAUCACUUCCAUCUUAUCCUACAAUCAGGCAGCAAGUAUUUACUGAGUAAUGAUUGCCUCCCAGCAGCAUGCAGUAAGUACCCUGUGAUGUAGAGAGAUAGACAUGCAAAGCAGAGAAAUAGAUUUGGGAGUCAUUUACAUCCUGGUGAG
rnacentral:lncRNA from 13 species